AAUGGAGCCAUGGCGGACGGGUGAGUAACGCGUAAAGAACUUGCCUUAUGGACUGGGAUAACAGUUGGAAACGACUGAUAAGACUGGAUAUAAUUAUAUAUUUGCAUGAAUGUAUAAUGAAAAGAGAUGCCAUAAGAGAGCUUUGCGUCCUAUUAGCUAGUUGGUGAGGUAAAGGCUCACCAAGGCGAUGAUAGGUAGCCGGCCUGAGAGGGUGAACGGCCACAAGGGGACUGAGAUACGGCCCUUACUCU
rnacentral:rRNA from 1 species